CCUACGGGAGGCAGCAGUGGGGAAUUUUCCGCAAUGGGCGAAAGCCUGACGGAGCAAUACCGCGUGAGGGAAGACGGCCUAUGGGUUGUAAACCUCUUUUUUCAGGGAGGAAUAACUGACGUGUACCUGAAGAAUAAGCAUCGGCUAACUCCGUGCCAGCAGCCGCGGUAAGACGGAGGAUGCAAGUGUUAUCCGGAAUCACUGGGCGUAAAGCGUCUAUAGGUUGUUGAACAAGUCAACUGUUAAAUCUUGAGGCUCAACUUCAAAAUCGCAGUCGAAACUGUUUGACUAGAGUAUAGUAGGGGUAAAGGGAAUUUCCAGUGGAGCGGUGAAAUGCGUAGAUAUUGGAAAGAACACUGAUGGCGAAGGCACUUUACUGGGCUAUUACUGACACUCAGAGACGAAAGCUAGGGUAGCAAAUGGGAUUAGAUACCCCAGUAGUCCUAGCCGUAAACAAUGGAUACUAGAUGUUGAACAGAUCGACCUGUGCAGUAUCAAAGCUAACGCGUUAAGUAUCCCGCCUGGGAAGUAUGCUCGCAAGAGUGAAACUCAAAGGAAUUGACGG
rnacentral:rRNA from 1 species